rnacentral:rRNA from 1 species
AUUGAACGCCGGCGGCAUGCCUUACACAUGCAAGUCGAACGGCAGCACGGGAGCAAUCCUGUGGCGAGUGGCGAACGGGUGAGUAAUAUAUCGGAACGUGCCCAGUCGUGGGGGAUAACGUAGCGAAAGCUACGCUAAUACCGCAUACGAUCUAUGGAUGAAAGCGGGGGAUCGCAAGACCUCGCGCGAUUGGAGCGGCCGAUAUCAGAUUAGGUAGUUGGUGAGGUAAAGGCUCACCAAGCCGACGAUCUGUAGCUGGUCUGAGAGGACGACCAGCCACACUGGAACUGAGACACGGUCCAGACUCCUACGGGAGGCAGCAGUGGGGAAUUUUGGACAAUGGGCGAAAGCCUGAUCCAGCCAUUCCGCGUGCAGGAUGAAGGCCCUCGGGUUGUAAACUGCUUUUGUACAGAACGAAAAGGUUUCUACUAAUACUAGGAGCUCAUGACGGUAUUGUAAGAAUAAGCACCGGCUAACUACGUGCCAGCAGCCGCAGUAA